UUAAUUGAAGAGUUUGAUCAUGGCUCAGAUUGAACGCUGGCGGCAGGCCUAACACAUGCAAGUCGAGCGGAAACGAGUUGUCUGAACCUUCGGGGAACGAUAACGGCGUCGAGCGGCGGACGGGUGAGUAAUGCCUGGGAAAUUGCCCUGAUGUGGGGGAUAACUAUUGGAAACGAUAGCUAAUACCGCAUAACGUCUACGGACCAAAGAGGGGGACCUUCGGGCCUCUCGCUUCAGGAUAUGCCCAGGUGGGAUUAGACAGUUGGUGAGGUAAUGGCUCCCCAAGGCGACGAUC
rnacentral:rRNA from 1 species